rnacentral:rRNA from 1 species
UACGUAGGGGGCAAGCGUUGUCCGGAUUUAUUGGGCGUAAAGAGCGUGUAGGCGGCUUGGUAGGUCCGCUGUGAAAACCUCGAGGCUCAACCUCGAGAUGUCGGCGGAAACCACUUGGCUAGAGUCCGGAAGAGGAGAGUGGAAUUCCUGGUGUAGCGGUGAAAUGCGCAGAUAUCAGGAAGAACACCUAUGGCGAAGGCAGCUCUCUGGGACGGUACUGACGCUGAGACGCGAAAGCGUGGGGAGCGAACAGG